UACGGAGGAUGCAAGCGUUAUCCGGAAUGAUUGGGCGUAAAGCGUCCGCAGGUGGCUAUGUAAGUCUGCUGUUAAAGAGCAAGGCUCAACCUUGUAAAGGCAGUGGAAACUACAUGGCUAGAGUGCGUUCGGGGCAGAGGGAAUUCCUGGUGUAGCGGUGAAAUGCGUAGAGAUCAGGAAGAACACCGGUGGCGAAAGCGCUCUGCUAGGCCGCAACUGACACUGAGGGACGAAAGCUAGGGGGAGCGAAUGGG
rnacentral:rRNA from 1 species